CAGUAUGAUUAGGGGGGCUUGUCGCUGGCUUCGGCAUGUGCGCGCCCCUCGCCUUCUAUUCCAUACACACCUGUGCACCUAUGGGGCGAGCGUCUCCCUUGAUUGGAGCCGUCCUGCGCGAGCGGGGCUGAGGCGCUCCCUCUUUUACUACAGCCGUCUUAACGCAUGUCUUGCGCUCCACGGAGCGAAAUGUUAAUA
rnacentral:misc_RNA from 1 species